rnacentral:rRNA from 1 species
UACAGAGGUCUCAAGCGUUGUUCGGAUUCCUUGGGCGUAAAGGGUGCGUAGGUGGCGGGGUAAGUCAGGUGUGAAAUCUCGAGGCUCAACCUCGAAACUGCACUUGAUACUGCCUUGCUCGAGUACUGGAGAGGAGAUUGGAAUUUACGGUGUAGCAGUGAAAUGCGUAGAUAUCGUAAGGAAGACCAGUGGCGAAGGCGAAUCUCUGGACAGUUACUGACACUGAGGCACGAAGGCCAGGGGAGCAAACGGG